rnacentral:lncRNA from 1 species
AUUUUAACAAAAUACAUUGUAUCUAUCUUAUCAAUAAUCAGAAAAGAGAUAUGAGAAUUUACAAAGCAAAACAUGGUUGGCUGGUGUUCUAACCCCGAUUUAGAACUGCUUACUCAACUGAACGACAAUGUGCAUGUCAGCUGCCUCGAGGUAAGUGAACUUUGUCUUCCCCUCAUUUGAGUAAAGCAGACGGUGCCUUCCUUGUUUUGAAAUAGAAUAGCACUGGGCAUUCCUUCUUUGCCCAUUAGAGUCUUGGAAACAGGCACAUAAUUCUGAUUUAGUUUAAGGAUUUCACAAACAGUGGUGAAAUCAGAGUUUAUUGUAACUGGGUGUAACUACCCUAUUUAAAAUGUCAAAC